ACCUGUACUACACCACAUGACUGAGUUACUGUACGGACAGGUUACACCUGUACUACACCACAUGACUGAGUUACUGUACGGACAGGUUACACCUGUACUACACCACAUGACUGAGUUACUGUACGGACAGGUAACACCUGUACUACACCACAUGACUGAGUUACUGUACGGACAGGUUACACCUGUACUACACCACAUGACUGAGUUACUGUACGGACAGGUUACACCUGUACUACACCACAUGACUGAGUUACUGUAUGGACAGGUUACACCUGUACUACACCACAUGACUGAGUUACUGUACGGACAGGUUGACCUGUACUACACCACAUGACUGAGUUACUGUACGGACAGGUAACACCUGUACUACACCACAUGACUGAGUUACUGACAGGUUACACCUGUACUACACCACAUGACUGAGUUACACCUGUACUACACCACAUGACUGAGUUACUGUACGGACAGGUUACACCUGUACUACACCACAUGACUGAGUUACUGUACAGACAGGUUACACCUGUACUACACCACAUGACUGAGUUACUGUACAGACAGGUUACACCUGUACUACACCACAUGACUGAGUUACUGUACGGACAGGUUACACCUGUACUACACCACAUGACUGAGUUAAUGUACGGACAGGUUACACCUGUACUACACCACAUGACUGAGUUACUGUACGGACAGGUUACACCUGUACUACACCACAUGACUGAGUUACUGUACGGACAGGUUACACCUGUACUACACCACAUGACUGAGUUACUGUACGGACAGGUAACACCUGUAAUACACCACAUGACUGAGUUACUGUACAGACAGGUUACACCUGUACUACACCACAUGACUGAGUUACUGUACAGACAGGUUACACCUGUACUACACCACAUGACUGAGUUACUGUACGGACAGGUUACACCUAUACUACACCACAUGACUGAGUUACUGUACAGACAGGUUACACCUGUACUACACCACAUGACUGAGUUACUGUACGGACAGGUUACACCUGUACUACACCACAUGACUGAGUUACUGUACGGACAGGUUACACCUGUACUACACCACAUGACUGAGUUACUGUACGGACAGGUUACACCUGUACUACACCACAUGACUGAGUUACUGUACGGACAGGUUACACCUGUACUACACCACAUGACUGAGUUACUGUACGGAGAGGUUACACCUGUACUACACCACAUGACUGAGUUACUGUACGGACAGGUUACACCUGGACCUCUGGCCAGGUAAACACUAUAGCAAGUUAGUCCCAAAUGGCCCUCUAUUCCCUCGAAAGUGCGCUUCUGUUGACCAGAUUGCUACGGGUUAGUCCUACGGGCCCUGGUCUAAAGUAGUGUACUGUAUAGGAAAUGUAGUGCCAUUUUGGACACAUACCAUGUUCUGAGAACCACCUCGCUGACCGUUCACACUAGAUCCC
rnacentral:lncRNA from 1 species